AGAGUUGUCAUGUGUCU
rnacentral:ncRNA from 2 species